UGAAAAACGAAGACCCCAAAUAGGGUUUAAA
rnacentral:piRNA from 1 species